UGCUGAAUUAACAUUAAGGACAUCAAACUAUUAGAAUGUGUCCAGAGGAGGGUGACGAAGAUGGGGAAAGGUCUCGAGGGCAAGAUUUAGGAGGAGCGGCUGAGGUCACUUGGCUUGUUCAGCCUGCAGAAGAGAAGGCUGAGGGGGGACCUCAUUGCAGUCUACAGCUUCCCUAAGGGGGGCAGCGGAGGGGGAAGUGCUGAUCUCCUCUCUCUGGUGACCAGCAGUAGGACACGAGGAAAUGGAAUGAAGCUGC